AGAGUUUGAUCAUGGCUCAGAACGAACGCUGGCGGCGCGUUUUAAGCAUGCAAGUCGAGCGGCAAGGGUAGCAAUACCCCUAGAGCGGCGGACGGGUGAGUAACACGUGGACAACCUGCCCUUAGGUGAGGGAUAGCCCAGGGAAACCUGGAUUAAUACCUUAUAAGACCACUGAUAGGAGUAUGAGUGGGGAAAGGUGCUACGGCGCCGCCUGAGGAUGGAUCUGCGUCCCAUUAGCUAGAUGGUAGGGUAAAGGCCUACCAUGGCGACGAUGGGUAGCCGGCCUGAGAGGGUGAACGGCCACACUGGAACUGAGACACGGUCCAGACUCCUACGGGAGGCAGCAGUGGGGAAUAUUGCACAAUGGAGGGAACUCUGAUGCAGCGACGCCGCGUGAGUGAAGAAGGUCUUCGGAUCGUAAAACUCUGUCCUUGGUGACGAAGAAAAUGACGGUAGCCAAGGAGGAAGCCCCGGCUAACUACGUGCCAGCAGCCGCGGUAAUACGUAGGACACGAGCGUUAUCCGGAUUUACUGGGCGUAAAGCGCCUGUAGGCGGUUCUUCAAGUCGUUUGUGAAAGCCCUGGGCUCAACCUGGGGAGGCCAAGCGAUACUGGAGGACUUGAGGGUGACAGAGGGGAGUGGAAUUUCCGGUGUAGCGGUAAAAUGCGCAGAUAUCGGGAGGAACACCGGUGGCGAAGGCGGCUUACUGGACUGUAACUGACGCUGAGUCACGAAAGCGUGGGUAGCAAACAGGAUUAGAUACCCUGGUAGUCCACGCCGUAAACGAUGAGUGCUAGGUGUUGGGCAGCAAUGCUCAGUGCCGAAGUAAACACAAUAAGCACUCCGCCUGGGG
rnacentral:rRNA from 1 species